rnacentral:rRNA from 1 species
GACGUAGGGUGCGAGCGUUGUCCGGAUUUACUGGGCGUAAAGAGCGCGCAGGCGGUCGUUCAAGUCGAGUGUGAAAGCCCCCGGCUCAACUGGGGAGGGUCACUCGAUACUGAUCGACUCGAAGGCAGAAGAGGGAAGCGGAAUUCCCGGUGUAGUGGUGAAAUGCGUAGAUAUCGGGAGGAACACCAGUGGCGAAGGCGGCUUUCUGGUCUGCUCUUGACGCUGAGGCGCGAAAGCUAGGGUAGCAAACGGG